AGGAGCCUACCUUUACUUAGCCUCACAACAUGGGCCUUAGCUUUAGCACUUAAUCUGCACAAAUACCUGGCUUAAGUGUUAUGACUGACUGGCUAUUCAACCAAACCAUACAAAUGACCAAUUCGGUAAGAAAGCAUGAACUUCAGUGUUGAACCAAAUCAACCAACCUCCUCAAUCCAAAUGGAGAGGAUAACAAAGGAAGCUGAGGAAGUCUGUUCUGGAGGCACCAUGACAAAGCACCAGACAGAAAGCAGUCACGUGUGGGGAGAUGAGCAGAGACACCACUUCUCAAGCACCUGAUUAUUCUUUCUCAGUAUUUAGAAGCAAAAAUUAUCCUUAAGAAAAACAACCGCAAACGCAACACAGGCUACACAGAUGAGAAAAUGGGGUGAACAUAAAGAUUUUUCAGUCAAUAGCAUACACUGAACAUUGCUUCUAUAUAAAGAGCAGUGUUUCUCAAAGUGUGGUCCUUGGAACAGCAGCAUCAGUAGCAUCGGCUUGCAGAGCUCAAACCAUUACACCAUUCAGAAGCUGGCUUUGGUAUUACUUCAAGUUAUUCAAAACAGUCACCACUUGCUGAGCCUCUGAUGUCUCAUCUGUUGAAUGGGUACAUUUUCUUCCUGAUCCUUCCACCUCUAAACUUGUCUAUUUCCAAGGAUCUAUGGCAUCCAGGCAUAUGAUUUCAAGAGAGAAGGCUGAAAAGGAAGGUGACUGGAAUAUUAAGAACUGUGAGAUAUUCUGAGGAAACUCUAAUUUGUAAAUUGGUAGAAAUGCCAGUAAUUUGUUGGGAAUUGAAGACCCUCUGUAUUCAAGAGCGAAGCUUGGCAGCUGUGCACUGUUGUUUUAUAAAUCAAUAUUACAUCUG
rnacentral:lncRNA from 1 species